rfam:Ovis aries breed Texel chromosome 5, whole genome shotgun sequence.
UCCCUGGUGGCUCAGAUGGUAAAGCAUCUGCUGCAAUGCAGGAGACCCGGGUUCGAUCCCUGGGUUGGGAA